rnacentral:tRNA from 1 species
GAUAGCUCAGCGGUAGAGCGGUCGGCUGUUAACCGAUAGGUCGUAGGUUCGAAUCCUACUC